GGACAAGCCACAGACCCCGUUUUACGGCGGAGGACGCUGAGGCGCAGGUUACCUAGCCCACUGGCUUAUCUGGCCCACAUGUGUCUGCUGAGAUGCUAGCUCAGCAGGGUGAGCAGGUGAGUCACUCAGAAGGGUGGUCGGUGACUCGACGGAGUUGCACAGCCCUUGGGGACUCCCAAGAUUUCAAGCUACCAGUGAGCUGAGCCAGAGCAAAGAGUCGGGGGAGAAGCACAGAAGUGACUCGCACGAGGCUGUGUGGCACACUCCGGCACGCUGCCAGCAGUGUCUCUUCCUAGUGUGACCUGAGGCAAGUGCUUUCACCACUGUAACCUCACUUUCUUCACCUGUAAAACGAGCCAACACCACCUCUCCCAGGCUGUUGGCGUGAGGAUUAGGUGACAGUCUUUCCCACCCACUUAUGCCCAGCUUAUUCAAUUCUUUGAAUGGCCUUAGGCAUUCUAAUCAUUUGGUUUUAUGUCAGUUUUUCCAAUGAACUGUGAAGUCCUUGAAGUCAGGGACCAUGUCACAUUUAUCUUUGUAUCCCCAGUGCCUAGUACAGAGCUUGGCACAUAAUAGGCACUCAAUAAAUUUC